CACUGCGUCAGAGAGUGGAACCCUAUCCCUUCUCGCACAUCACCCCCCCCCUAACGCCUACGAACAAGGAGCACCCGGUCAUGGAGAGCACAAUGACUGAAGGAGGGCAUCGUACCCACGACAAAAUUACAUCCCCAUGAAAAUUAGACCAAGCCAGCAUCACCUUCCCUGCGUCCACACAACGAUUCUCCCUCGCCCCACAGUCCUAAGACGAAGCCUCCAAGGAAGAAUUUAAUGAGUCCCGGCCAAGGUAUAUAACCUGCCAAAGAAAAACCUAAGAUUAGGUAAAAACAACAAUGGCUCUGAGACCACGCGGUGCGCACAAAGUGUCAUCAUCGAGCAUCUAAAGCCUAAAAGUUAUCAUAUGUUCCCAUCAAUAAAAAAAAUUCUAGUGUUUUACGGGCAUCAUUGGGUACUCUGCUUCAUUCAAAUGUAUAAAUAUUUUUAUGGAGUUUCUUUUAAGAGAGAAGACCAAGAGUGGACAAUAUAUGUUUAGAAUAUACAAAAUGGAAUAGGUAAGAUGGAGAAGAUUUAUUGACAGAUAAGGUAAGAGGAUAAUAGGAAAGAUAAGAAUAAAACAUACAAGCAUGCAUCCUAAAAUUCUAAUAUAUUCAUAUCAAUAAUACAACAUGUGGCAAUUGUAACAUCCAUACCAAAAUACUACAAUAUUCAUACCAUAAUUCUACUGCAAGAAUCAUAGGAAAAUAUCAUAAACAUAUAUAGCUAUUUAUUAGCAAUAUCCAACAUGAUACAUAAUAAUAUCAUAUAAAAUGCAUUACAAAAUGAACAUGUAGCAAUUGUAAUGUUCAUAGAAAAAUAACAUGAACAAUAUAUAGCCAUUCCAUAGCAAUAUCAUAUAAGAUGACGGGGGAAACCCGACAGCAGGGCAGAGGCACCACGACAACAACACCACAAUAACGAUGUUGGGUCUAUGCACACAUAUGGUGGCGCGUGAGACCCCGUUGGCAGGACAUCAUAGCACCACCACCAGAGUGGGACAAACUUGGGUAGUAGGUAUCGUGGCACAACGCACGGCUGGAUGGAUGUCGACGAUACACAACAACAAGACAAUGUAGGGCGACUAAGUCGACAAUGUCACGGCAAGGAGCAAGCAUGGCACCGGGUAAAGGAGAUGAGCAUGGGCCGACGAUGAUGCACAUGGGCGGGAGCGGCAAGGGAUGAAGCAUGUUGCGGCAAGGAGGGAACGUGCAACGUCGUGACGCGAUGAUAGAUACAGAUAUGUGCGGCGGAUUCGCGGCGGGAGGGAAUGGAGCAAGGAUAGGGAAGGUCAGGGAGGGUGUGGUAGUGUCGAUGGGGUGGCCGACAACACGAAAGGCACACACGAGAGGUAGUCAACACGGGAUGGAUGUGAUGGAGAGUUAGGGAGGUGGAACAGGGGUUGUAAAGUUAUAAAAGCACAUGUGGUUGUCACCACAUAUCGGUUGCUAGGUUGGGUUGGCCAAUGGUGACCAGCCAAACUUUGCGACACCAGUGAUAACCAUCUGUAAUGAUUGGGUUACCAGCUUGUCGCCCGUCAGUAUUUACAUGCCAACAUAGCCCAGACAUGGUCAUCACUGACCAGUCAUGGCAGGCUGUCAAUGCUAAGCUUUGGCACUAAUGGUUGGUCACUGGUCACUCGCUGAUCCAUGUUUAUGUGUCAGUGUUGGCGCUAUUUUUAGCAGUGUUGAUGCUUCAUUGAUACCCAUGUUUCUAUCUAUAUAUGUAAUAUACUAACUAAUUGAUCGA